rnacentral:rRNA from 19 species
CGGCAACGGAUAUCUCGGCUCUCGCAUCGAUGAAGAACGUAGCGAAAUGCGAUACUUGGUGUGAAUUGCAGAAUCCCGUGAACCAUCGAGUCUUUGAACGCAAGUUGCGCCCGAAGCCAUCAGGCCGAGGGCACGCCUGCCUGGGCGUCACACGCCGUUGCCCCC